rnacentral:rRNA from 1 species
ACGCUGGCGGCGUGCCUAAUACAUGCAAGUCGAACGGUCUUUCUAUGGAAGCUUGCUUCCGCUGAGAAGAUAGUGGCGAACGGGUGAGUAACACGUGGGUAACCUGCCCAUAAGAGGGGGAUAACAUCCGGAAACGGGUGCUAAUACCGCAUAGUUUUCUUGAUCGCAUGAUCGGGAAAGGAAAGACGGCCUUUGUGCUGUCGCUUAUGGAUGGACCCGCGGCGUAUUAGUUAGUUGGUGAGGUAACGGCUCACCAAGACGAUGAUACGUAGCCGACCUGAGAGGGUGAUCGGCCACAUUGGGACUGAGACACGGCCCAAACUCCUACGGGAGGCAGCAGUAGGGAAUCUUCCGCAAUGGACGAAAGUCUGACGGAGCAACGCCGCGUGAGUGAAGAAGGUUUUUCCGGAUCGUAAAACUCUGUUGUCAGAGAAGAACAAGUUGGAGAGUAACUGCUCCAGCCUUGACGGUAUCUGACCAGAAAGCCACGGCUAACUACGUGCCAGCAGCGGC